rnacentral:tRNA from 1 species
GGAGAGGAUACAGCUCAGUGGUAGAGUGCUUGCUUAGCAUGCACGAGGUCCUGGGUUCAAUCCCCAGUAUCUCCA